AGGAGCACAGCCUUGCCGCAAUGGAGAGCGAGGGAGGAUCCGGAUGCGGCAAGACCUGUCGGGUGCUUGUUGCCGAGAAUAACUGCUCUUUCACGUCUUGUCCGUGCCUCUUCCAGCUGGUUGGGGGCCACCAUUUCAGACUCCAAUUACAGCUGGAGUGAAAAAUACUCCCUUCAUCCCAGCUUGAUCUUUACUGCACUGUCGCAAGGAGCCAGCAAGUACAGUUAUGAAACUAGCUGGAGUUGUACUCCAGCUUCCUAUACCCUUCCGAAACAUUUCCAUUAAAUAGAUGGUGGAAAGCAAUUCCUCAGGGAAGGAGAGCUAGAAGCAGGGCACCUGGAAAGAUGAGGGCCACCCCAGCUUGACUGGAAGCUGAAGCAACAGCAGUCGCUGCAGAGACCAAGUUGUGCGGGGGCAGAAAACCCAAGUGGCUUUUUGAGCCCCGCACAAAGCACUUAAGCUCUGGAGCGAGGUCCAGCUGCCG
rnacentral:lncRNA from 1 species